rnacentral:rRNA from 1 species
GUGGGGAAUAUUGGACAAUGGGCGAAAGCCUGAUCCAGCCAUGCCGCGUGUGUGAAGAAGGUCUUCGGAUUGUAAAGCACUUUAAGUUGGGAGGAAGGGCAUUAACCUAAUACGUUAGUGUUUUGACGUUACCAACAGAAUAAGCACCGGCUAACUUCGUGCCAGCAGCCGCGGUAAUACGAAGGGUGCAAGCGUUAAUCGGAAUUACUGGGCGUAAAGCGCGCGUAGGUGGUUUUGUAAGUUGGAGGUGAAAUCCCCGGGCUCAACCUGGGAACUGCCUCCAAAACUGCAUGACUAGAGUACGGUAGAGGGUAGUGGAAUUUCCUGUGUAGCGGUGAAAUGCGUAGAUAUAGGAAGGAACACCAGUGGCGAAGGCGACUACCUGGACUGAUACUGACACUGAGGUGCGAAAGCGUGGGGAGCAAACAGGAUUAGAAACCCCUGUAGUCC